CCCCUCUUUUCACUGAUCACUAUCAGAAAGUAUUUGUGUUGUCUGCUAAUCACUUGCCUCAUACCUACCAUAUCCAUGUUCUUGGAUUGAGUUGCAUAAAUAAUACGAAUUUUGUAAUCUUGAUUUCACAAAUUUUAUAGUCUAGAACUCUUGUUUUGACAGAUAGCGACGAUUUGAUGAUAUUUUGAUGAAACAGUAUUCUUAACUAAAAUGCUUAAAUUUAGAUUCAAAUUCCUCAUCGCUUUUAGAAAAUAAAGUUAAUUGGUGUGGAUUUACAUCGAUGCAUGCUUUAGACUUCACAGAGAAAGAAGUGAACUGGGUGAUGGAAGCAAGCGCAAUAGCUGUUGGUCCUGGACCGCAUCGCCUAGGUGUUGAAACUGCAACAAUGGCACUUUUGGCAAAUCUAAUGCUGUGGUCCGACACCCAGUAGCAUCGAGUUCUUAAUUACAUUUGCAAGGAGAGUUGAGCCCAAUUAGUCUGGAUGGAGGCAAGAAUGCUACUAGAGUUCUGGCUUCCUGUAGCGAGCAAUUUUUUCUUCUUCUACUCGUGUUUUUGUUUGUUCAGUAUUGUUUUAGAAUAAUAUAAAUUAUAUCUUAGAAUUUUAUCUAA